rnacentral:rRNA from 1 species
GAUGAACGCUGGCGGCGUGCCUAAUACAUGCAAGUCGAGCGAACAGACGAGGAGCUUGCUCCUCUGACGUUAGCGGCGGACGGGUGAGUAACACGUGGAUAACCUACCUAUAAGACUGGGAUAACUUCGGGAAACCGGAGCUAAUACCGGAUAACAUGUUGAACCGCAUGGUUCAACAGUGAAAGACGGUCUUGCUGUCACUUAUAGAUGGAUCCGCGCCGCAUUAGCUAGUUGGUAAGGUAACGGCUUACCAAGGCAACGAUGCGUAGCCGACCUGAGAGGGUGAUCGGCCCCACUGGAACUGAGACACGGUCCAGACUCCUACGGGAGGCAGCAGUAGGGAAUCUUCCGCAAUGGGCGAAAUCCUGACGGAGCAACGCCGCGUGAGUGAAGAAGGUCUUCGGAUCGUAAAACUCUGUUAUUAGGGAAGAACAAAUGUGUAAGUAACUAUGCACGUCUUGACGGUACCUAAUCAGAAAGCCACGGCUAACUACGUG